GUGCCAGCCGCCGCGGUAAAACGUAGGAGGCGAGCGUUGUCCGGAUUUACUGGGCGUAAAGAGCGCGUAGGCGGCUUCGCAAGUCAGGUGUGAAAUCUCCCGGCUUAACUGGGAGGGGUCAUUUGAUACUGUGGGGCUGGAGUGCAGUAGAGGGAGACGGAAUUCCGGGUGUAGUGGUGAAAUGCGUAGAUAUCCGGAGGAACACCAGUGGCGAAGGCGGUCUCCUGGGCUGUUACUGACGCUGAGGUGCGAAAGCGUGGGGAGCGAACUGAAUUAGAUACUCAGGUAGUCCACGCUGUAAACGAUGGACACUAGGUGUGGGGGGUAUCGACCCCCUCCGUGCCGUAGCUAACGCGAUAAGUGUCCCGCCUGGGGAGUACGGCCGCAAGGCUAAA
rnacentral:rRNA from 1 species